rnacentral:rRNA from 1 species
AAGCUCGUAGUUGAAUUUCGGGGUUAGUAGGUUGGUCAUGCCUCUGGUAUGUACUGGUCUCACUGAUUCCUCCUUCCUUAUGAACCGUAAUGCCAUUAAUUUGGUGUUGCGGGGGAAUUUGGACUGUUACUUUGAAAAAAUUAGAGUGUUUAAAGCAAGCUAACGCUUGAAUACAUUAGCAUGGAAUAAUGAAAUAGGACGUUCGAUCUUAUUUUGUUGGUUUCUUAGGAUUGACGUAAUGAUUAAUAGGGAUAGUUGGGCUGA